CUUGAAAUUACAUGUGCGAGCAGUAACUGAAAAAUGACAUGGCUUUCAUCAUUAAGUCAGCGAAAACUAUUCGGACCCACUGGAAGAAAUCAACAUUUGGUGCAUGUCUGUGUGUGUAUGGAAUUCAAUUUGCUAAAGAAAAAAGGGCAGAGGAGUUGAUCAGGAGGGCAUUCUGUGCAGAGGCAGUGGAAUAUGGCAGUAAAAUCCUAGGAUUUAACGAGAAACCACGUCGAGUGACUGUCUUCCUCAACCCUGCAGUGAAAGGAGGAAAGGGGACCAAACUAUUCACCAAGACUGCUGCCCCCAUCUUGUAUCUGGCUGGGAUGGAGGUGAACGUUGUCAAGACGGAGUAUGAAGGUCAAGUAAAGGAGUUUAUCAAGGUCUUGGAGUCCCAGGACACCGACGCCAUCAUCAUUGCCGGAGGUGACGGCACUCUGCUGGAGGCUGUCACAGGCUUGAUGAGGAAAGAAGACAAGCACUUCCGGAACAAUAUACCUGUUGGAGUUAUCCCCCUUGGCAAGACAAAUCGGUUUGCCAAGUUGCUGUUUGGAACCGAUCUGAAUCAAGUCAGACUAAUUGCCGAGUCUGCCAUGGCGAUCAUCAAGGGAGAGACGAGCCAGUUUGACGUGAUGAAGAUAGAGGGGGAGGAGGGCAAGACCACGUAUGCUGUGUCCGGCCUGGAGGUGGGGCUCUACCGAGAUGCUGAGCAGAGGAAGCUGAAGAACUGGUAUUUCGGUCCACUGAAGCACUACUGGACAUACAUCCGGACCACUCUGAGGAACGACUGGCCGGCCACCUUCAAUGGGAAGAUGACAUACGUGGAGGCCACACCAGAGAACACCAAACUCGUGGCUCCCAAAGUGGAAGCGCCGCCGAAGUCCCGGACGUGGAGCUGGCUGGGUUUGCUGUACAACCAGUCCCCUAAACCUCCUGUGGCAACAAGUGACUUUGUCAUGGACAGCUCUGCAGAUGCUGAACAGGAGAGAGAUAUCUCUGCAGUCGAGCUUACCAUCAUGUCUUCCAAUUACAAGAAAGAGAAUGCAGUCCCAUCAUUAGCGGUUGGCAUUGGACCUAAAGAACCUGGCCGACAGGAGUUAAUAUCGGAAGGAUGGAGGAGAGUGAAGGAAAGGGACACAACUCUUCCCCUGGGAACAGACUCCAAUGAACAGAUACAUGUGAAAUCUCUGCAUCUUGUGCCUGAUGAAGAAACUUGCGAAGGUCAGUGGUUCAACAUCGACGGGGAGGCCUUUGAGGCAAUGCCAAUCACAAUCAGCCUGCUGCGCAACAAGCUGCGCGUCUACUCCCAACCCGUCUCGGUCACAUGAUGUUCAUCUUGUCCUAGUUCUCUAACUUACGGAAUGACACGGAACAGGUGCACCUUGAAAUGUGAACAACUGAUGUCCAAUAUAGCCUCAGGGGGAUGUCAGAGGUCACCAGGAAGACCUGUGUGCAUAUCUUGUGUUGAUAUGUGAUUGUACAGAAUAUCUCAUGAAGGAUUGUUGUGGAAGGCAGAGAGAUUAUCAUACAUUAUCUAUACUGGUGUGUGUAGGUACAAGCUGUUGGCCUACAGCAGUCUCUAUACUGGUGUGUGUAGGUACAAGCUGUUUGCCUACAGCAGUCACGAUACUGGUGUGUGUAGGUACAAGCUGUUUGCCUACAGCAGUCUCGAUACUGGUGUGUGUAGGUACAAGCUGUUUGCCUACAGCAGUCUCUAUACUGGUGUGUGUAGGUACAAGCUGUUUGCCUACAGCAGUCUCGAUACUGGUGUGUGUAGGUACAAGAUACUUGUGUGUCUAUAUGUGUGUUGUAGCCCUGCAAAAAUAUGCAUAGAUAAUUUAGUGUGAUUACUGUGAAAAAAUACAAAACUCAACGUUUCUUUUUCAGUAAUGAUUUACUUUAAAACUGUGUAUGUAUACAAUAUCAACCAUUAAAUAUGAGUAUGAUUUGAAGCAUUGCACAAAUUGGUAUGGAAGUCGGCGUCAUGGUAAGAGUACAACAGGCACCAUUUGUACAUAGUAUACAAAAUACAUCUCAGUAAAAUAAUACACAAGGUCAUGCUACUCUGUCAUGUUUGGGACGUCAAGUGAAGACUAUACUCUUGGUGUCUACUUCUCAAAACAAGUUCAAGGACACUAUAUUAACGGUAUUAUGGUAAAUC
rnacentral:misc_RNA from 1 species